CUACGGGAGGCAGCAGUAGGGAAUCUUCCGCAAUGGACGAAAGUCUGACGGAGCAACGCCGCGUGAGUGAGGAAGGUUUUCGGAUCGUAAAGCUCUGUUGUUAGGGAAGAACAAGUGCCGUUCAAAUAGGGCGGCACCUUGACGGUACCUAACCAGAAAGCCACGGCUAACUACGUGCCAGCAGCCGCGGUAAUACGUAGGUGGCAAGCGUUGUCCGGAAUUAUUGGGCGUAAAGGGCUCGCAGGCGGUUUCUUAAGUCUGAUGUGAAAGCCCCCGGCUCAACCGGGGAGGGUCAUUGGAAACUGGGGAACUUGAGUGCAGAAGAGGAGAGUGGAAUUCCACGUGUAGCGGUGAAAUGCGUAGAGAUGUGGAGGAACACCAGUGGCGAAGGCGACUCUCUGGUCUG
rnacentral:rRNA from 1 species